UACAGAGACCUCAAGCGUUAUCCGGAAUCAUUGGGCGUAAAGCGUACCGAUAGGUGGUUUUCCAAGUCAGAUGUGAAAUCUCCGAGCUUAACUCGGAAUCUGUCAUUUGAAACUGGUAGACUAGAGGGGCAAAGAGGAAGCUGGAACGAACGGUGUAGUAGUGAAAUGCGUUGAUAUCGUUCGGAACACCAAUAGCGAAGGCGGGCUUCUGGGUGCCACCUGACACUGCUAGGACGAAAGCGUGGGGAGCGAAUGGG
rnacentral:rRNA from 1 species